CCUACGGGGGGCUGCAGUGGGGAAUAUUGCACAAUGGGCGCAAGCCUGAUGCAGCCAUGCCGCGUGUGUGAAGAAGGCCUUCGGGUUGUAAAGCACUUUCAGCGGGGAGGAAGGCGUUAAGGUUAAUAACCUUGUCGAUUGACGUUACCCGCAGAAGAAGCACCGGCUAACUCCGUGCCAGCAGCCGCGGUGAUACGGAGGGUGCAAGCGUUAAUCGGAAUUACUGGGCGUAAAGCGCACGCAGGCGGUCUGUCAAGUCGGAUGUGAAAUCCCCGGGCUCAACCUGGGAACUGCAUUCGAAACUGGCAGGCUAGAGUCUUGUAGAGGGGGGUAGAAUUCCAGGUGUAGCGGUGAAAUGCGUAGAGAUCUGGAGGAAUACCGGUGGCGAAGGCGGCCCCCUGGACAAAGACUGACGCUCAGGUGCGAAAGCGUGGGGAGCAAACAGGAUUAGAUACCCCUGUAGUC
rnacentral:rRNA from 1 species